rnacentral:rRNA from 1 species
GACGAACGCUGGCGGCGUGCUUAACACAUGCAAGUCGAGCGGUAAGGCUCUUUCGGGGGGUACACGAGCGGCGAACGGGUGAGUAACACGUGGGUGACCUGCCCUUAGCUCUGGGAUAAGCCUGGGAAACUGGGUCUAAUACCGGAUAUGACUCCAUGACGCAUGUUGUGGGGUGGAAAGCCUUGUGCGGCUAGGGAUGGGCCCGCGGCCUAUCAGCUUGUUGGUGGGGUGAUGGCCUACCAAGGCGACGACGGGUAGCCGGCCUGAGAGGGCGACCGGCCACACUGGGACUGAGGCACGGCCCAGACUCCUACGGGAGGCAGCAGUGGGGAAUCUUGCGCAAUGGGCGAAAGCCUGACGCAGCGACGCCGCGUGGGGA